rnacentral:tRNA from 1 species
GCCCCUGUAGCUCAGCAGGACAGAGCACGCCCCUCCUAAGGGUGAGAUAGAGGUUCGAGUCCUCUCGGGGGUA